UACGAAGGGGGGCUAGCGUUGUUCGGAAUUACUGGGCGUAAAGCGCGCGCAGGCGGCUAUCCAAGUCAGUGGUGAAAGCCCGGAGCUCAACUCCGGAACUGCCAUUGAAACUGUUUAGCUUGAGGACGAGAGAGGUGAGUGGAAUUCCCAGUGUAGAGGUGAAAUUCGUAGAUACUGGGAAGAAUACCCGUGGCGAAGGCGGCCAGCUGGGCCAGGUCCGACACUGAGGCGCGAAAGCGUGGGGAGCAAACAGG
rnacentral:rRNA from 1 species